AUAGAAUCCUUGGAGUCAGAAAGGACCUCUGAAGGCCAUCUAGUCCAGCUCCCCUGCAAUGAACAGGGACACCGCAGCUAUAUCAGGUUGCCCAGAGCCUUAUCCAGCCUCGCCUUGAAAGUCUCCAGGGAUGGAGCAUCAAUCACAGCACUAGAUUCACUUUCUGUGAUUUAUGGCACCAGGGAGAGCUGGAUUUUGUGUCCUGAGGUGCCACUAGAAGGGUCUUCAGGAGUUUAUGAAACCUCCAGCACGCCUGACUUUGAGGUGCUUUUCUGCUGGAUGUGCUCUACCUCACUGCUUUGCCAUGAAACACUAGGGAUUUGGGGGCUGUCUCUGGGCAGCUUCCAAGGCUUUAGAGUCCCUGUGUUUUACAGGCACCCCAUGAAGCUUGUGUGGUGCCCCAGUUUUGAUGGAGAAAUAUGACCCUCACGCACUGCCUGCAGCUCAGGACAGGAUGGCCAUGUAGUCCCCCUGAACUCACCAGUACCCAAUGCGUGAAGAGUGCUGCUCCCUGCCCAGUGGAUGUGCCUUGAAGAGGGACCUUUUAUGCACACUUUUGCUAAUCUGAAUCAAGCAAGACAAGGUGGCAGAAAAAACAAAAAUGAUGUUUCCUACAGUUACUCUGGUCUGAGCUCUG
ensembl:lncRNA